rnacentral:rRNA from 1 species
AUGACAUGCCUGAGUUGGAACUGCCGGGGGCUUGGGAAUCCCGAGGCAGUUCGUGAGCUUCGCAGCAUUGUGAAGCUGGAAGGACCCACCCUACUCUUCGUCAUGGAAACAAAGAUUAAUGCAAAAAGAGUAGAGGAUUUGAGGUAUACUCUAGGUUUUGGUAGUUGUUUUACGGUUGACAGUGUCAGCCUGAGUGGCGGCAUAGGUCUGUUUUGGUCUCGCGGCAUGACUGUUGAAUUAAGGAACUACAGCAACUGUCACAUUGACGUUCUGGUUAAUGGUAAUGACCAGAAUUCUUCUCCUCCGUGGAGAUUUACCGGUUUUUACGGGGCGCCGCGUCCGGCUGAUCGUAGCGAUCGUUGGCAGCUUUUGCGAAACUUGUUUGCUCUACCCCAUGCUGCUUGGUUGUCUAUGGGGGAUUACAAUGAAACUUUAUUCGCGUCUAAACAUUUCAGCAGACGAGCGAGACCUGAAGCGCAAAUGAGAGCAUUUUGGGAGGUAACUGAUUAA